rnacentral:lncRNA from 1 species
GGGGCUGCAUACGCUUAGAACUCAGCAUCAUCUUUAGAAAACUUCACAAACCUUCUUCUUCUGAGCAGCAGUAAGUAAGGGUGAGUACACUUAUGGUUGAUACUCAGCAAGGCCACAAGAAAUAACUAGAUUAACGAUUUAAGUCCAUCUUCAAGUUUAUUAAUCAUGUGAGGGUACAGGCCGCUCUUAACCGUGAGCACGACUGAUCGAUCAGUUUUAC